AUCUAUUAACUUAUGAAAUGGAUCGAUCGUUUAUUUAUUGCACAUAAUG
rnacentral:sRNA from 1 species